rnacentral:rRNA from 1 species
AAGCUUGCUUCUCUGAUGGUUAGCGGCGGACGGGUGAGUAACACGUAGGCAACCUGCCCUCAAGCUUGGGACAACUACCGGAAACGGUAGCUAAUACCGAAUAGUUGUUUUCUUCUCCUGAAGAGAACUGGAAAGACGGAGCAAUCUGUCACUUGGGGAUGGGCCUGCGGCGCAUUAGCUAGUUGGUGGGGUAACGGCUCACCAAGGCGACGAUGCGUAGCCGACCUGAGAGGGUGAUCGGCCACACUGGGACUGAGACACGGCCCAGACUCCUACGGGAGGCAGCAGUAGGGAAUCUUCCGCAAUGGGCGAAAGCCUGACGGAGCAAUGCCGCGUGAGUGAUGAAGGUUUUCGGAUCGUAAAGCUCUGUUGCCAGGGAAGAACGCUUGGGAGAGUAACUGCUCUCAAGGUGACGGUACCUGAGAAGAAAGCCCCGGCUAACUACGUGCCAGCAGCCGCGGUAAUACGUAGGGGGCAAGCGUUGUCCGGAAUUAUUGGGCGUAAAGCGCGCGCAGGCGGUCAUUUAAGUCUGGUGUUUAAUCCCGGGGCUCAACCCCGGAUCGCACUGGAAACUGGGUGACUUGAGUGCAGAAGAGGAGAGUGGAAUUCCACGUGUAGCGGUGAAAUGCGUAGAUAUGUGGAGGAACACCAGUGGCGAAGGCGACUCUCUGGGCUGUAACUGACGCUGAGGCGC